GUGCAUUGUCGUUGUCGUCGAUGUUGGUGUCAGAAUCGCUCCCGUUCUGGUAAUCUGUGACUUGGAUGACGUCAGGCGGAGCUGUGGCGUUCAUCGUUGUGGUUCCAACUUCCAGCGGUGAAGAGAACCAAAAAUCUGAGAAGAGUGAGAGCGUUUUGGGGGAAAUGGAUUGGAAACAAAGCCUUUUUUCCUUUUCCCCCAUUGCAGUGAGUAGCGGAUGCUCUGAAGCUCAGAUCUGAACCAGAACCUCUCAACUAAAACGACUGAAUGGGACUCCUCUCACUGAACCAACUUUUAUAUCUAUACAUAAAUAUAUAAUUCGGUGGAACAAACUACAAAGCAAAGGGAAAGAGAAGAAGAGAGGAAUAUUUGGUUAAAGAAUUAUGACAAAUUGCUUCUUAAGAAAGAGUGAGUAAGAAAGAGGAGAGAGAGCUCUGUGAGGAUGAGAGCUCUCUGAAUGUGAGUUCUCUAUGUCUGUGUCUCUGUGUGGGUUUUUGCAGAUUCACGGUGGAAGUGAAAAAAUGAAAGAGAACCGACACAACUUUUCUUAUCGAUUCCCACAGACGGCGCCAAAUGUUGAUGCACAAAAUCGGAGGUCUUGGAACAACGUAAAUCCGACUAUGAAUCUACAAGAAAUGUAAAUAACACAAGAUGUAUCGUGGUUCACCCCAAGGUUUAGGCUACGUCCACAUUGAUUAUGUAUUUAUCUGAGAAGUGAGGGAGAGAGAUUCAGAGCCUCUGAGGGAGAGAGUGAGGUCUCUGAUGGCCUAGGAAUUGGCCUCCCCUAAUUGUGAGGGUGAGGAGUCCUUUUAUAGAAUAAGGGCUCCUCACUUAUUACAUAUUUGCCCCUUCCUUUAUUAUAUAAUUACAUUUAAGUCCCCCAAGUAUUUAUACAAGAUCUAAAUAUGGAGGCCCUAAAUAUGGUAUAAACAUACUUCACACAAAACUGGCACUCUAACAAUUGGCAUUUUUGUGUUAGACAACACUAUUACGCACUGGUGAGGCUAGAAAUUGUUAGGCAGAGGGGCGGGAUUUUAAAGGGUUGGCCUAAAAAAAUUUAGACAACCAAAUAUUUUUAGAUAAUAGACAAUAUUAAUGUCUAUUAUAACUCAUACCUAAAAUAAAUGUUUUUAGUGUGAAGUGACCAAAAUACGCCUGGUGAGAGUGUCUUGAAUAAAUAUAGGUUGAGUUGUGAUUUUUGGGAAGAGCAAAGGGGCGGACCGUCACUCAUGGGCUUGAUUUCCGGCGUAGCUUCGCCACACCUAUUACAUGAAAUUAAAAAUUAGCAUUUUCAUGUUAUCUAAACAGCAUUAUUCUUUAUGUACAUAUAUCAAACUAAAUCUUAAAUGGGUUUUCAUCAUAUGUGAUAAUAUAUGAAAUAAAUAAUAUGUUUGGGACUCUGAUGAAUAAAAUAUUAAUUCAGGGUUUAAUGAUUUUAUUGCGAUACGUGUGUCAUAGCUGACAGAGAGAGUGAUGAACCCGUCCAUUUACCAGCUACAACUUUGUUUGGCUAAUAGAUAGUGAUCAACCGGUCCAUAUACUGCCUAGAUUUUUGUUUAUAAGCCAUGGAAAAUCCUAAAUAAAGACCCGCAAAUGCAAGUAGAAAAAUUGGAUUAAAAUUUUUCAAAACAACAAUGCUAGCCAAGAAAACAAACAAAGUCAAUUCAGAUGACGUCCUCGUGAAACAUUCUGCAUUUCCUUUGCAUAUUUUAAUAUUCCCCUCCCUCCCCCCCCCAAAAAAAAAAAUCAAUACAGUUGAAUGUCACUAUUACUGCAAAACUUAAGUUUAAUUGUGGGCAGCUAUCAAUCUCACACGAUCAGGAAUUGCAAUAUAUCAAUCAAUUCUAUGGGAUUCAAACCUUUGAUCGUGGGUUAAAUCACGUGGGGGGUUUGGCGUCGCUUUCACGAUAUAGAUGCGAAGUAGAGGAUCAAUAGCUUCCACGUCUCUACCUCUCCUUAGUUUUUUUAUUUUUCAGAUACACAAUAUCACAAAUGAUCACGAAACAGAGUGCUUCAUAUCUUCCUCGUUGCAAGUUGCCAAGGCUGAGGGGAAGGAUUUAUAUAUCGUGAGCAAUACCAUUAUCAUGAUGUUCCGGACUAAUAACAUAAUAAUAAUAUACAUAAAUUUUUAUUUAUAUGUCUUUACAUUAUUAAUACGGAACACGUGCAUGCAUAUCAUGAAAGUUGUUGUCGAUCCUUCUUUUAAAUUAAUAAGAGAUCAUGAUCAAUGUGCCUUAAACUAAACGCAGCUACAACCGGCGGAGUAGCACGUGCACAAUAUAACAAUCUGUUGCAUGCAUGACCCGUAUGACUACAGUUCAAGUAACCUGUGUGAUGAUGAUUCAUUAUCUUCUAUAUAUGAAAAAGUAGCUAGACAUGUAUGCAUGCUUAACGCAAGCCAGAUAUGUUAGCCUUAUAAGGUUAUACAAUUAAAACACAAAUGAAUGAGUGACUGACCUGAUUCCAAUGGUAGUUAUCGAAGAUGCAGUAGCCAUGCAAGCAAGACGUGAUCGAUAAAACUCCAAUCUUUAUGUUUGCCGUGACAAACAGAAAACACCAACUCUUCUGUAAACUCCUAGCUUUAUGACAAUGCUCUAUGGGAAGCCUUAAUUGUUGUGUCUAGGGUUAGCAGGGACCGGUGUUU
rnacentral:lncRNA from 1 species